GACGAACGCNGGCGGCGUGCCUAAUACAUGCAAGUAGAACGCUGAAGAGAGGAGCUUGCUCUUCUUGGAUGAGUUGCGAACGGGUGAGUAACGCGUAGGUAACCUGCCUGGUAGCGGGGGAUAACUAUUGGAAACGAUAGCUAAUACCGCAUAAAAUUGAUUAUUGCAUGAUAAUUAAUUGAAAGAUGCAAUUGCAUCACUACCAGAUGGACCUGCGUUGUAUUAGCUAGUUGGUGAGGUAACGGCUCACCAAGGCGACGAUACAUAGCCGACCUGAGAGGGUGAUCGGCCACACUGGGACUGAGACACGGCCCAGACUCCUACGGGAGGCAGCAGUAGGGAAUCUUCGGCAAUGGGGGGAACCCUGACCGAGCAACGCCGCGUGAGUGAAGAAGGUUUUCGGAUCGUAAAGCUCUGUUGUAAGAGAAGAACGGGUGUGAGAGNGGAAAGUCACAC
rnacentral:rRNA from 1 species